rnacentral:rRNA from 1 species
CUGGCUCAGGAUGAACGCUAGCUACAGGCUUAACACAUGCAAGUCGAGGGGUAACAGGAGAGAAGCUUGCUUUCUUGCUGACGACCGGCGCACGGGUGAGUAACGCGUAUCCAACCUUCCCCUUAGUAGCGGAUAGCCCGGCGAAAGUCGGAUUAAUACGCUAUGUUCUUCGUUGAUGGCAUCUGAUGUGAAGCAAAGAUUUAUCGCUAAGGGAUGGGGAUGCGUCUGAUUAGGUAGUCGGCGGGGUAACGGCCCACCGAGCCAUCGAUCAGUAGGGGUUCUGAGAGGAAGGUCCCCCACACUGGUACUGAGACACGGACCAGACUCCUACGGGAGGCAGCAGUGAGGAAUAUUGGUCAAUGGGCGCGAGCCUGAACCAGCCAAGUAGCGUGCAAGGAUGACUGCCCUAUGGGUUGUAAACUGCUUUUAUCAGGGAAUAAAGUGAGGCACGUGUGCCUUUUUGUAUGUACCUGAUGAAUAAGGACCGGCUAAUUCCGUGCCAGCCGCCGC